AACUUGGCCUGUGAUUCAUUAAAAUGUUUCGUGAAUAUUGCCAAUCUUCCCCACUUCGUUAGACUUUUCCCCUGCUUCUACUCUCUGUGUCUGGCUCAGUCUUGUCCUGGCCUCUAAAUGUGUUUAUUCUAUACAGUUUGUGUGUUUGUUCAUUUAUUAAUUCAAUAAAUAUUUAUUAAGUAUCUGCUUAUCUUAAGCACUUAUAGUCACAGAUGUUCAUACCAUUAAGCAUGCCAUCCAAGAUAAACUUGAAAAGUUUUUGGGACUUGAUACAUUGCAGAAACAUCAAACUUAUUUAAGUUCAAUGUACACUUGAAGAAUCUGCAUUAUUUUUUCCUAUCUAGAAAUUUUAUACUUUAAGACCCUGAGUUACUCUUUACAUCCAAAAGAACCAAAGUCAUGAGAUUAAAUUAAAAAAGGGUUUGGUAGAUCCAGAGAAUUAUUAGCUGUCAGUGUUAGGGAGAAUAGCAUUAACAUUUUAUGGGGUAUUUCUACUUUAUGCCUAUCACCUCAUAUACUAUAAUCUCAUUUCACCUUAAUAUAUAUAGGUAUGAAGUAUAUAUUUAUAUAUGUAAUAUAUUUAUACAAGUAAUAUAUUAAUCCCAUAAAAAGGUAUAAAAUAAAAAAUAACGUAUCUUCACUCCAUCAUCUCUCUUCCCUUUGUAUAUAUAUCCAGAAAAAAGGUUUUAUGCAUAUACCUGUAUGUUUAGAAAUACAAUGGAUAUGUGCAUAUAUGUAUAUACUUUUUAUUAUAUAUGUAUAACUUUAAUUAACACAAAUAGAGUCAUAUGAUCCACACCACUGCCUAUGUAGCUUUUAAAACAUAAAUACAUAUGGGAGCUGUUUCCUCAAAAGCACAUACAGACCAAGCUCAUUACUGUAUUUGACUGUGUGGCAUUCCGUAGUAUGAGCGUACCAGAGUAUAUUACCUGGUUCCUAUUGGUGGACAUUUAGAUUGUUUCUUGUUUUUAUAAUUAUAAGUAGUUAUAAGAAUGUAUUAAUAUCUGUGUCUUGGCAGAUAUUUUUGACUAUACAUCUCCAUAGAAAACUUUCUAACAUGAAAUGACUGGGUUAAAGUAUAUUGGUAUUUAGAAAUUUGAUAGACAUAGCUGACUUGCUAUCAAAAAAUAUUAUGUAAAUGUACACUUUUCCAUCAAUAAUAGAAGUUGAAAACAAAAUUUUAGUUUCUUUUUCCACACACUAUCGCCAAUAUUGGUUAUUUUGGCAAAAUGAUAUUUCAUUUUUUUAUGUUUCUUUAAAUUUUAGAAGUUGAGCAUAUUUUCAUGUUUACAGGACCUUUUUAUUAGUUUUCCUAAAAGCUUCCUGUUCACAGCCUUUGACUAUUUUCUAUUGCACCAUAUUUUAAAAAUGGAUUUAUAUUAGGUCUUUUAAAAUUAAGAAAUUGGCUUUUUGCAUCCACAUUGCACAUAGUUUUCUAAGUAUUUUGUCUUUUGACUUUAUGCAUUUUUAUGUACAAAAUGUUAUAUUUCUGUGUAGACAAUUUAUCAUUCUUUUAAAAUUGCAUCUAGGUUUUAUGUCCUGUUUACAAAAGCCCUUCCAAUUCCAAGAUUGUAAAUAAAUUUGCCUGGGCCUUAUUCUAGUGUUUUUAUAGGUUUAUUUUGAAAAACUUUGAUUCAUCUGGAAUUAAAACUUUUUCGUGGCAUAAGAAGCAAUAUAAUGAUCCAUCCUCUUUCCAGCCCUUCACCCUUUCUUCUUCCCUCUCUCUCUCCCUUUGUCAUUGGCUAGCUACAUGUCCUAAUUCUGGUUACUGCAUACUCCAUUCUUACCCCUGCUUUGAAAUGCCUCUUUUAUCAUGUUAGUAUCUCCAGCUCACAUAUGAGAAGCUACACUAACAAAGAUAGUGGCAGAGCCAGAAUUUGAUUCCUUGUUAAUUUAAAGCUAAGGUCUGACCUUUUCUCACUUCAGUGUUUUGGAUUGAUACUGAGGAGAGGCAUGUUUAUCAUCUUUUCAAAUUUGCUUUUUUUUUUUUUUUUUUUUUUUAGUUUUUGUGGGUACAUAGUAGGUGUAUAUAUUUAUGGGGUACAUGAGACGUCUUGAUACAGGCAUGUGGUCUGAAAUAGCACAUUAUGGGGAAUGAGGUAUCUAUCCCUUCAAGCAUUUACACUUUAAGUUACAAACAAUUCAAUUACACUCUUUAAGUUAUUUUAAAAUGUGUCAUCUUAAUUUAGAUUUGGAUUUUAUUUAUUACUUUGAAACUCAGAUCCUCAAUUCAUGCCAUACUCUCCUCGUUGGUCCAGGCAUGACUUUUAAGUUAAUUAUUUAUUUUUAAUAUAAAUAAACAGCCAUAUGCCCACCACUCAACCUGGAAAUGAACAUUGAUGAAUAUGGUUUUUUUCCUUUCUAGUUCCUUGUCUUUCCUACUUGAGUUUCCCUAUUCUAAAUCUUGUAUUGAUUUAUCUCUUUUUUUAAAUAUGGGAAAUACGUUACUUCUGGUAUGUUAUUAUAAGAAAAAUAAUGCUAUCCUUCCUAAAAAUAAUGUAAUUUAGUGUUAGUUAUUUUUAACUUUAUAAAAGAGGCAAGAAGUUGUAUGUAACAUUUUGGGACUUAGUUUUUAGCUUUUUUUUUUUUUAACUCAAUGUCAUAUUUCUAAAAUUCAUCCAUAUUCUUAUUACAGUUAAAUUGUUACUGAUAAUUUGGAAAACCGUCAGCAUUAUCUUAUACAGUUGAGUCUACACAUUCUUUACAACUGAUAAAUUUCACUCUCAUUUAUAUAUCCCACAGAGACUCUUGCAAUGCCUACCAGAGAUAAGUACAAGAAUGUUAAUAGCAGCAUGUUUGUAAUAGCAAAACUCUAGAAAUAAUCCAAAUCCCCAUCAAUAGGAGAAAAGAUAAAUAAAUAAUGGGAUAUUCACAUCAAAUAACAUUUUGUACUAUUAAAAAUUUUAAUGUAAUUAGGCUCAUUUAAAUAUUUAUCAUAACAAAUUCAACAUAAUGGAGACAACCAAUGUUUCACUAAUUUAUGAUG
rnacentral:lncRNA from 10 species